AGAGGCCUCGGUGGCAAUCCUAUCGAAGAUGUCGUUAACGAAACUGUUCACGAUGCUCAUCGCCUUCGAGGACACACCGAUAUUCGGCUGGACUUGCCUCAGUACUUUGUAGAUAUAAAUCUACUGCUCGCUCUCGUUGACAUUCUCGUGGCAAGAUUCUUGAGGAUCCAAAUGAUGGAGGAUUUGAUUGGGUACUUUGGCAAUUAAUUAGCAAGAAAGCAUCAAGGUAAAUGAGACUACAGAAGAUAAUUCUCUGCAAAAAAGUCCUUCGAUAUGUUUUCACUUUAAAAACAUACAUUGAGUAAUCGACGGUUGAUAAUAAAGUUCCUACAGAUAUAUUCCAGCACGAGAAUUUGGUUAUGUUAUUACUCUAAUGUGAACAGCAUUCUCAUAAAUAUUCAAUUCCAAUAGCAAUAUAAAAGGUAUAAAUUCAUCCAGUGAAUUAACGGAGAACUCUGGGAAAAAAGGAUCAAGAUGACCAAAUUAAUGGAGUGGUUGUUCUGUCUCGUUCUCUUCAUGGGCCCCUGGACAGCUACCAUCACAGGACAAGUCAACUCUCCAUGGGACGUUCACGUUUAAUAAUUGUGAAAAAGCUGCUAUGCAGCUUAAAAGGCAAAUUGAAGAGGCCCAGGCGGAGUUGAGAAUAAAGGGAGUGCUCCCGAGAGACCCUAAAGGCCCAGAAUUAAUGUGAAUUUGUUGAAACACAGCUGAGGCAAAUCGCAAAAUUAACAAAUUGAUUUUUUACAGCAUUAAUUAAUGAGUUAAUUUAACGAUUUAUUUCAUUAUUAUUAAUUAACAUUCUUCAGUUGGGUGCUGAUUCAACAGACUACGAUAUUUUUGCCUUUUCUGGUCAUAAAAACAAAAUUGAACAUCAUGUCUUCAUUAAAUAUUUAAUCUUCGUAUAUAUGAAAAAUAAUUAGACUCAAUAAUUUCCAACACAUAGAAAAAUGUUUUAUCAAAGCAUGAAAUUGUACGAAUAAAUUAUUAAAUUCAAUUCA